ensembl:lncRNA
CAGAGGGGAAGGGAGAGCCAGGCCCGGCCCGCUCCGCCCCCUGAAUCACGGAAGUGCUAACGUGACUCUUCUCCCAGGAAGUCGCAGCUGGGCUGAAGUCUUUUUUCCUCUUCUUUUCCUUUUUUCUUCUACCCCUUCAACUCAUGUCCUAGUCCAUGAUGAGAAAGGAAAGGAAACGGGGUGAAGGUGAGCCCAUCCCAAGCUGCACGGAGUUGACAAAAGGCAGGGAGGUGCUGCCGUGCCCAGCUCCAACAGCACUGAAGCCCGGAUUUUUGGCUCACUUUUCGCAAGUGCCAUGUGUACCAAUAAAAAGAGAGUUCUGCAGGAAAUGAGGUGUGACGCAGGCCAGCUUCACCAGUCUCUCGGACCAAGAAAUAAGAAUUUAAAUAUGAAAUACUAAAAUUUAACACAUGACUGAAACAAAAUAAAUGGUGUAGCACUAAAAGCAUUUGAGGUAACACCGUCACAGGUUCCAGGGACGAGUAUGUGGACAUCUUUGCGGGGCCAUUAUUCUGCCUACCACACAAAGCAACGAAAAAUACACGUGCAUUGGUAUAAACAGCAGAGCCAUUUUGAUGAUCAUAUCGACACCUCAGCAACAAGUGCUUCCCAGGUGCCACCAGAAUGUCACUUUCCAAAGGGUUAAAUGAACCAAAAGGCCUCAACCUCCAAUAUUCUUUUUCUGCGUCCGUUUAGUAUGCAUAACCAUUAAACAAAACAAUGGGCAUAGAUUCAUAUCCUGUCUACAAAUCAUCGAAUGAUACAAGAACAAAUCUACCCCCAGCUGCUUCGUCCCAUGCUCUGCUUUGACUGGGAGGGGAAAGCCAAGUUUCGAGCCGGGUCUACCCUGACUCAGGCCUUAACUUGUGAGUCCUGCUAUUCUAACCCUUUCUCUUGAUCCGCUUUUCAGCCUGUCUCGGAGCACACAGCUCAGAGCAGCAGGGAAGUUGCUUAGCAAAGGGCCACCCACUUGCCUAUUAUUCCUUCCUCGCCUGUGACAUGACACAAGAACAAAGUAGACAUUAACCGCUACAUUAAACCCAGAAAGAAAGUAAUCAGUAACCUGUUAUUCCCUUAAUAAAGGGAAACACAUGCAGUGUGAAAUCCAGAAGACUAAUCAAUGGCAGCAGACAAUGCAAUGUGCCAAACAAAUUGCAAAUCAAUUAGAAUCCUUGUUUUCUUUGAAAUGGUUCACUAUAUCUAAAGCAAUUACUCCUUCAUUAGACCUAAUUUAACAGCAUGACUGCCCUGGCUACAACUGGCAGCGUCUGGCUAUCAAAUGGAAGAAUGGCAGCUUAUUUCUGUCUGUCUGUGAGUCUAGCACCAAUCAAAAAAAAAAUUGAAUUCCUUUAUAUGAGAGAAACUUUUAAUGAAUGGGUGGAUAUUUGUCUUACUCAAAAUAUCGAUACCAGAAUAAGGAUACACCCCAAGGGAAAUUAAAACAGAAAAGAGCUACAUAAAUUAUUGAAUAAAAAUCUGUAAUUUAAAAAAUUGUAUUUCUUUUCACCUUUUUAUGCUAGCUUCAAAUAAAAAUAGAAUUUAAGUAUGUAAACUCCUUUUAGCUUUUCAGUCGAACACAUCUUUUCAUACCAGUUUUAGGACUUUUGAAAUGAGAAUCCUCCUGAUUCUUAUAGAAUUUGGAAUAUUCUUGUAAAUGAUCACCAAAAAAGUACCGGUUCACUUUAUUUUUAAAGCUAUUUUUAAAAAUAGCUUUAUGGAGGUACGGUUAAUGUACAAUCAAAUUCACCCAUUUUAAGUGUACAUUUAGUGAAUUUUGUCCAAUGUAUACAGUCUCGUAACCACGACCCCAGUCAAGAUACAGAACAUUUCUAUCACCCCAAUAAGUUCCCAUGUACCCCUUUGCAGUCGGUUCCUCCCCCCAACCCUGGCCCCAGGCAACAUGGAGCUGCUGUCAGCUCAUUUCACUUUUAAGAAAAGUUUCCCAUCCUCUGGAGGUGUGGGCAUGGAAAAAUAACUGAAAUAAGGCUUUUCUACCAGUUCGGGGGAAAUGGUUUUGUACUUGUUUGAGGCAGCAAGCGAAAACGUCUUAGAACCGAAGGAGAAGAUUCAAACUUCUUUGAAAGCAGAUAUGCUUCAAGAGCAUAUCUUAUUGCUUAUUUCUAGAAGCUGAAGUCAAUAUUCCUAAAUGAACCGAAAUAACUUUAAUAGUCACAACUUAUUAUUAAAUUGCUAAACCUCAUAGGCUGAUAUUUCUAUUUUCUCCUCUUUGAGAAAAGUCCUAGCUCUAAGAGUUGUUGUUUACUGUAAUAUUCCUGAGUUAUUUUUUCUGACUAUAAAAUCAAUCCAUUUUGAUUAUAUGAAAUUCCAACAUUACAGAAUUACAAAAAGUGGGAAGGAAAGUCCCUAUAUUUCCAUUCCUGCCUAUAAUUUUCAAAAGUACACAGAGCUAUAUGUACAAGGAUGUUCUUUACAGCAUUGUGGCAACAGCAAAAAUUGGAGGCUCUGGAAGUUUGAGCCUAAAAUUAAGCUACACACGUUCCUGCUUCCCACUUCCUUCCUUUCCGUCCCUUCUCACGGCUUUUACCCCUCCCCUCCCCCAAUCCUCCCUCUGCACCUUACAUCAAAUGGCUUUUCAUUCUCCACAUCCUUUGCCUUUCUUCUUUUUUUCUUUAGAGCUCAGUGCAGGAAUAUUCUUGCACUGAGGGUACCCGUAUCUUUUGCAGGCCAACCAACCCAUUUCCCAUCUCCUACCCCUCAAAAGAAAAUAUUCCGCCAAAGCUUUCACAUUCUUCACGUAAAUUCGUGCUACCCCACAGUGCACCCCGUCUUACCCCCUUUAACCUUUCACUAUUAACACUGUCACUCAGUCAAAUUAUUUUUUGUUUCUAUUGGUUAGGCUAACACUCAUAAUUUACCCUAGUCAAUCAAUCAAUUAAUCAACGAGUAUUCAUUGAAGGCCUGCUUCCCAGUAAAACCUGAUUGGCUGCUUCUGGGCGUGGAUUUGUAACGCUGAUGAAAAGCAUUGGUGAUGGUGGGGGAUGGGAUGAGGAAGUUAGGAAGUUUAAUCACCUUCUAAAGGUGAUUUAGUUUGGUGUUUAGGCUAAGCAGAAGCCGAAGUGAAAGUAAGUGAGAAAGAGUGCAUUCCUCCUUUUCAACUCUAUCUGUGUUAACCUUAGAGUGCAAAAGGCUUUAUCAUGGACACCGAGGCUGCUCCAGUCCCAAGGCUUGGCUGUAAAGGGAGUGGCCUUGGGAAGGAAGAUGCUAUAACUAUCUGAAAAGUAUUUUUUAUUAUUUAGAGAACAUCUUCCUUAACCCAUGGUUACUGAUGCUCUCCAAAUGUGCAUGUGCAGAGAAUGUUUGUGUAAAGACGCUGUGGUCUCAACUAUUCAUGUGGAGCUCCUCCAGCGCUUGCCACAGCUCCAAGACAACUGUCAGCCGGCCGGCAGGUGAACACUUAGGUCAGGCCCACGGGAGGCGGGGGCUCACCUGGUGUUCUUUAAGGAACAGAUAAGGCUUUGGUCUCUGACCCACAACAGGGUGACCACCACAUAAUUAAAUACUGAAUAAAUCAGUGUGAGCUCUUCUAAGGAGACAAAUGGCAAGUUUUAUCCUUUAUGAGGCAAGAGAUAAGGAUAUUUUGGAUUUUUAGGCAGCUUCCUAAGAAAGAUAAAAAUAAAUUGGAUUUUAGAAGUUCCCACUAGACAGUCUGGACAGAAAACCCUGUAGUCAUAAUUUUAUAUCCUGUCAUAUUCACUGGUUAAGUCACUGCUGGCAAUUUUUGCAUCGUUAGCAGUCAUUUAAAUGUUUUCUGCAAAGCAAUGUUCAACCUAAAUGAAAUGAACUCUUCUAUGGCUCUGCUUCAUAUGCUGUACAUCAUUCCCGCACACGGCACGGAGACCUGGUUCUUGCUAACGCACAGAUAAAAGCCAUAACGGACUGAUGGCAGAACAAAUGAAGCCUGUCGUUCAGAGUACGCACAGCCCUUUUGUUUGUUCUGCUAUAGAAAAAGUGAAUAGACGGGUCUUUUGCGAACUUUCAGGGUAUCAAUUUUUUAUCUCCUACCCCCCUUCUGGGAAUAAUCAUUUCGGUUACUGAAUUUUUUCCUUUGACUCUAUCGACUAUUAAUAUGAGAAUUGUAUCCACCAUGGAUGAAUGUUAACUAACACAGUUCUUCAUACAAACGCAAACUUCCUCUUCACCAGCCUCCGGUGACUCGGCGUCUUGCACCAGCGUGGUAUCAUUCAGCUUCAGUUGCUAUAGCAUUUUCAAGAACCUCUCUGUUCUUGUCAUAAAUUAUCUUUUAAGUGAAAAAAGCUCAAAGGAGGUCUGCACAAACUGUAUCAAAUAAUGAAUUUGCAAGCAGUAGAAGAAAACACUUGUCUUACUUAUGCUCUUCUCCCAUCGAUUGUUCAGUGACCCUUCUUUGGGAUACAGAUGAGCAUAACCCUGAAAAAUGUUUGUGUUGUCUUUCUUUAACUGGCAGCCUGCGGGCUGCAUGAUCUAAUAAAUAUUGGCAGGGCCAAAUGAAAUAAUAUAGAAGAGCUUCUCUUCUUUAAAGUCCACAGACCAAGAGACUCUUGUCACUUGUUAAUAUCUCCAUCAAACACUGAAGUGUUAACAUAUGUGAUACGACCACGCAAUCAAGUAAGGACCGAUUUGUUGACUAAUUAAACCAACACAACAAGCUCUUUAGCACCUACAAGUGACAAGUUUAGAGCAGGCAAGUGGGAACUCUCAAUUGAGCCCCCUUUUAUGAGACUAUCAUGCCAAAUUCAAUUCUGACUGAGUAGUAUUUGAAUGUACUUGACUUCCACCAUGUGCUGACAUGCUUACAAUAAUUCAUCAUGGGUGACAAUAGCCCAAUAUUAGAGAUUUAUGAUAUAUACAAAACAGUUACAAAUGAAAUGUAGCCCUAACGUAGCUCUGCUUUCCUUACCCACUGCCUAUUGAUAUUAUAAUUAAUGGUCAAUUACUUAGGGAAAAGAAAAUAGAAAAUAGUCAUUACUGGUUUCAGUCAUCAUUGGAUUCUUUUUUGGCAAAUUCUAGAGGUAAAUGAAACCGUCUCCACAGUGUUUGGCGGUUGCUUCAAAAUAAUAAAUGGACAUAGAAGCCUGAUGUUUAUGACUCAUUUUAGCAAUGAGAAUGAGCUAAUAAUAAUAUUUUGAAGGGAAGUAAAUGUAAAUUAAGUUGCCUGAGAAGUGGGAAAGCAUUCCAAGGUGUGUCUUUGCGUGGGUAGAUGACACAGACAUGUUACGUCUGGGGGCAUGUACCUUCCCCACCUGCCACAUGGAUGUUUUAUAUUCAGCUUCCUCGUUUGUAAAUUGAAGCAGCUCCACUAAUUUAUUUCUAAUGUCCUUGCGAUCCGUAAAAUAUCAUGGCCUCUGAUCUGACCUUUCCGCCUCCAGGUUGGUGAAAGGAGGCAGGAUCCUGUCCAUUGUCUUUGGCAUGCAGCCAAUCCUGCUCCCUCCCUCUUCUUCCUCUAUGCCCUCCCCUUUUUAUCUUUUAUAUGCA